rnacentral:rRNA from 1 species
UACGUAGGGGGCUAGCGUUGUCCGGAAUCAUUGGGCGUAAAGCGCGUGUAGGCGGUCCGGUAAGUCCGCUGUGAAAGUCGAGGGCUCAACCCUCGAAUGCCGGUGGAUACUGUCGGGCUUGAGUACGGGAGAGGCGAGUGGAAUUCCUGGUGUAGCGGUGAAAUGCGCAGAUAUCAGGAGGAACACCAAUGGCGAAGGCAGCUCGCUGGAACGGUACUGACGCUGAGGCGCAAAAGCGUGGGGAGCAAACAGG